GAUGAACGCUAGCGGCAGGCCUAAUACAUGCAAGUCGAGGGGUAGAGGAAGCUUGCUUUCUUGAGACCGGCGCACGGGUGCGUAACGCGUAUGCAACCUACCUUUAUCAGGGGGAUAGCCCGGAGAAAUCCGGAUUAACACCGCAUAAAAUCACAGAACAGCAUUGUUUCAUGAUCAAAUAUUUAUAGGAUAAAGAUGGGCAUGCGUGCCAUUAGCUAGUUGGCGGGGUAACGGCCCACCAAGGCGACGAUGGCUAGGGGCUCUGAGAGGAGAAUCCCCCACACUGGUACUGAGACACGGACCAGACUCCUACGGGAGGCAGCAGUAAGGAAUAUUGGUCGAUGGGGGCAACCCUGAACCAGCCAUGCCGCGUGCAGGAAGACUGCCCUAUGGGUUGUAAACUGCUUUUGUACGGGAAUAACCACUGGUAUGUAUACCAGCCUGAAUGUACCGUAAGAAUAAGGAUCGGCUAACUCCGUGCCAGCCGCCGCUGUAAUAC
rnacentral:rRNA from 1 species